AUGUUUAGCUCGCGCUGGCGCUCCACCAACGCGGCGGCUUCCCGGCGCGAGCAGGAGCGCGCCUUGUCCCUGCACAACCGUCUCGACCUCUUUGGGCGCACGGUGAGCAAGCUCAGCAGCCUCGCCGAGAAGCAGAAGCGCGAGGAGGAGGCGGAGAAGGCCGAGUUCCAGCGCCAGUGAAAGAUUCGGCAGCAGGAAACAGAAGAGAAACGCAUCGAGGAAGAAACAGCACGAAGAGUGGAAGAGUUGGUGGCAAAAAGGAUAGAGGAAGAAUUGGAGAAAAGGAUGAAAUUGAGCGCGAGGUUCUCCGAAGGGUGGAGGAAGCCAAGUGCAUCAUGGAAAAGCAGUUGCUCGAAGAACUCGAGCGACAGAGACAAGCUGAGCUUGCAGCACAGAAAGCCAGAGACGAGGAAGAACGAGCAAGGCGUGAGGAGCUGGAGCGAAUACUGGAAGAGAAUAACCGAAAAAUUGCGGAAGCGCAGGCCAAGCUGGCUGGAGAACAGUUGAGAAUUGUUGAAGAACAAAGAAAGAUUCAUGAGGAAAGGAUGAAACUAGAACAGGAACGACAACGACAACAAAAAGAACAAAAAAUUAUCCUGGGCAAGGGGAAGUCCAGACCAAAACUGUCCUUCACAUUAAAAUCCCAGGAUUAA